rnacentral:rRNA from 1 species
CACGUAGGCGGCGCGACCAGUCAGAUGUGAAAGCCCCGGGCUCAACCUGGGAACGGCAUUUGAUACUAUCGCGCUCGAGUCUGAGAGAGGGGGGUGGAAUUCCAGGUGUAGCGGUGAAAUGCGUAGAUAUCUGGAGGAACAUCAGUGGCGAAGGCGGCCCCCUGGCUCAAGACUGACGCUGAGGUGCGAAAGCGUGGGGAGCAAACA